rnacentral:rRNA from 1 species
UUCGUAGGCGGUCUGUUAAGUCAGAGGUGAAAUCUAACGGCUCAACCGUUAACCUGCCUUUGAAACUGGCAGACUUGAGUAUUGGAGAGGAAAGCGGAAUUCUUGGUGUAGCGGUGAAAUGCGUGGAUAUCAAGAGGAACACCCGUGGCGAAGGCGGCUUUCUGGCCAAAUACUGACGCUGAGGAACGAAAGCUAGGGGAGCAAACAGGAUUAGAUACCCUGGUAGUCC